UUUCCCAUUCUUGGCCCCAGGGCUCUCUGUGUGGAAGGAAACACCAUGGGGGACACUUUGCUCAUGCUCUCCUCCUCUUUUCCUGCAGGUUUCACUCCAGGAUCCUCUGGAAUUCACUGUGGGAAUCUGCACCAGUGGCUGCCCCUGGAUCCAAGUCCCUCUGGUUCUCAGGGGCUCCUUCAAACACCCCCUGGUUGGUGCUGCAGUUCCAGGAGGUGCUGGACCUUCAGGAGGUGACUUUUGGAGCACUGCAGCCCUGCCCUGGAGGAAGAAGCCCAGCCCUUCGUGCUGCUCUGACUAGUGACCCCCUGCCUUUUAUCUUGGAUUCCCUUGGUUUGCUUCAGCUGGACUCGAUCACCUUAAGGUCUUUUAGAACCUGAAGAAUUUUGUGAUCUAACUGGUGGAGCACUGGCUGUCCCUAAAAAAGCCCAUCCUACGUGAUUUGUAAGAGUGGGAUAGAGAACAGAGACAAGAGACUCCUGCCAAACACAGCUCCCCCAGCCCUGCUUUGACCUGGGGCUGCAUCAGGAGAGACCAGCACAUCCCAGUUCCUCCUGGGAGCUGGGAAAGGGGCCAAGGAUCACAACCCUGCCAUGUCCCACACAGUGUGACCACAGCUUUUCCUCUGCACAAGCUCUGGUCGGGAUGCUCCUGCUGCUGUCGCCUCUUCAAGAGAUGUUCCUCCCCCAUCUCCUUAAAUCCUGUGUUUACGACAGGCUGGCAAAAAUAAAAAUGGCCAAAAAAGGAGCGUUGAUUAAAUUUAGAGACCAGAUUAAAUUUAGAGACCAGAUCCUGGGCAUCCCCUCCUUGUCUAGAUCUUUUUCCCAUCCUGGGCCAUCGUGGCAGCGAAGUGAUUUUCUCCAGAGGCACAAUCCUUGUGCUUCCCACAGGCCUCGCUCCUACCUGGCAGCAAAAAAAAAACCCAAUUCAUGCUCCUGCUAAAUGCUUUCCUCCAACAGCCCCGAGCAAAAACAAACACCCCAAAGAAACCAAACAGAGAAAAGCCUGCAGAAAGCAGCUGUUCCCCUCCUUCAGAGAGGAGGCAACGUGCUUGUUCCUUCAGAGAUGCACAACGAGGGGAGCUGUGAAGCGCUGAAAUGACAUCUUGUAAUGCGCCGGCUGUCACGCUCACAGGCACCCCUGCAACUGCUGCUGCACAGCUGAGCAGCCAGAGCCAGCCUGGCAGCCCUGGCACUCCGUGCUCUCACCCUGAACAAUUAUUAAUAUGUUAAUUUGACAAUCAGGUGUCGUUCUUUGAGGAAAAUUUCCUGCGCCGCGCUCGGAUUCUUCGGGUUUCUCUUUUGGCGGCUGCUUCUCGGCUCGUGGAGUUUUUUGUUUUCUCAGCCUGGGCAGAGCCUGAGGGAUCUUUUUGCCACGUCCUUGGAAGUGUCCAAGGCCAGGUUGGAUGGGGUUUGGAGCGAGCUGGGAUUGUCAAGGUGUCCUUGCUCUAAGGUCCCUCCAACCCAAACCAUUCCAGGAUUUAUUGUAAAUGCAGGCGAACCCAAUGGGAAGAAAUGCUGAUGUCUGACUCAGUUCAGAAGGCUGAAUGAUUUCUUUAUUAAAACUAUGGCUAAAAUACAUUGAUAUACUAUAUAAAAAGGAAAAUACUAAAACUACAAACCUACUUUCUCUAACUCUAAUACAACUCGUGACCCUCUCUGGAGAGCCCAGCCCCAGGUGGGCUGGAUUGGCCGUCAGGCUCAAACAAUCCUCACCAGAAUCCAACCCAGCCAUCACCCCAGGGAAACAAUUCUCCAAACACAUUCCACAUGGGAAAAACAAGGAGCAGAAACAGAAAUUGUUUUCUCUUUCUUCUCUCUGUGCUGCUCUAUGAAAAAAUCCUGAGAGGGAGAGAAAUGUGCUUGCACAGGAUUCUCUGGUUCCCUGAGCAUUCCAAGGUACCAAGUCAGGAGAGCAUCGUGCUGGUGCUGAU
rnacentral:lncRNA from 1 species